UUUUUCUUUGUCUUUGAUGGAUUGGGUUAAUUUGAAAGCCUGUCUUUGAGCUCUGAAGUUCUUUCUUCUGCUUGUUCGAUUGAUUGCUGAGACUUUCCAGUGCGUUUUGCAUUUCUCUAUAUGUUCCCCGAUUUCUCGAAAUUGUAAUUGUUUUUUUUUUAAUUUAUGCUGUUUCACUGAAUAAUUUUCCUUUCAUAUCCUGCAUCACGUUUUUGAUUUAUUUAAGUUGGACUUCAUCUUUCUCUGCUGCCUCUUUUAUUAGCUUAAUAAUCAACCUUCUGAAUUCUUUUUCUGGCUAUUCCAAGAUUUCAUCUUAGUUUGGAUCCAUUGCUGGUGAGCUAGUGCAAUGUUUCGGGGGUGUUAAAGAAACUUGUUUUGUCGUAUUAGCAGAAAUUUUUUUCUCGCUCUUUCUCAUUUGGGUAGACUAUGUCAGAGGGAAGAUCUGGAAUUCAAGAGCUGCUGUUCAGAUUCUUUUGUCCCAUGGGGUGCUCCCUUGAUGUGGUGUUCUCCCCCUUCCCCUAUAAAUGCGGCUUCCUGAGGGCCAAAGUGUCAUGAUUGUUUUUGCUCUUCUGGGUCUAGCCACCCAGUGGAGCUACUGGGCUCCGGGCUGGUACUGGGGAGUGUCUGCAAAGAGUCCUGUGAUGUGAUCCAUCUUCAGGUUUUGCAGCCAGUGGAGGUAGCAGGGGAGUGAAGUGGACUCUGUAAGGGUCCUUGGUUGUAUUUUGGUUUAGUGUGCUAGUUUUGUGUUGGUUGGCCUCCAGCUAGGAGGUGGUGAUUUCAAGAGUGCAUCAGUUGUGGUCCUGCAGAGAGGAUGCCAACUUUCCCUAGGGACAGCUGGUUAAGUAUUCAGAUUUCUCAGGCGGUGGGCAGGGCCAUAGAACUCCCAAGAGAUUAUGACCUUGGUCUUUGUCUACCAGGGUGUGUAGAGAAAGACCACCCGGUAGGGGCAGGGAUAGGCAUGGCUGAGCUCAGCCUCUCCUUGGGUGUGGCUUGCUGUGACUGCUGUGGGGGAUGGGGGUGUGCUGAAUGGGUCCCCUUGGAGCCCAACAACUAUGUUGAGAGAAUUGUAGUAUUGUGAUAACAGAACCUGGUUGAUGUAGGAGUGAGUGUGUGUGUGUGAGAGAGAGAGUGUGAGUGUAUGUGUGUGCUGACAACCACAUUUCCCUUUACUUCCUUCUGGCUUGUGUCUUUGCAUCUCAUUUCGUCUCCCUUUCUAAAUUCAAGCCCAAAAGUGAAAAAAGGGAAAUAUCAGGAUGGCAGUACUUGUAACCAGAUUUUAAUCAACAUUCUUCACUAAGUCCUGAAGAUAAACAUAUAAAAGGAAAUGCUAGCACAAAGCGUGUGUGCCUAUGUAGGCCUUGAUAAGUAUUGCUCUACAGACACUCAUAAAGUAGUGCCAUUUAGACUCCCCAAGUAUAGGGAGGUGAGAAAGGCUACAGAGGAAUGAAGAAAGUACUGACGCUGACAAGGUGUUGCAGAGGAAAGGCCCUGGACUCUGUGGUGGACACACAUAUUGGUCAUUUGUCUAUUUUCGGUUUUGUUGUCUGUGCUUUUAAGGUCUUAGCCAUAAAAUAUUUGCCUAGACCAAUGUACUAAAGUGUUUCCCCCAGGUUUUUGUCUAGUACUUUUAUAGUUUCAGAUCUUACAUUUAAGUCUUUAAUUGAUCUUGAGUUGAUGUCUGUAUAUGAUGAGAGACAGAGAUGCAGUUUCAUUCUUCUGCAUAUGCAUAUCCAAUUUUCCCAAUACCAUUUAUUGAGGAGGAUGUCCUUUCUCCAACGUACGUUCUUGGUGCCUUUGUUGAAAAUCAGUUUUGUCUGUAAACAUGUGGAUUUAUUUCUGCGUUCUCUAUUCUGUUCCAUUGGUCUUUGUGUCUGUUUUCAUACCAAUACCAUGCUGUUUUGAUUACCAUAGCCUUGUAAUAUAUUUUGAAGUCAAGUAGUGUGAUGCCUCCAGCUUUGUUCUUUUUGGUCUGGAUUGGUUUGGUUAUCCGGGUUCCUUUGUGGUUGCAUAUCAAUUUUAGGAUUGUUUUUUCUAUUUCUGCAAAAAAUGUCAUUGGUACUUUGAUAAGGAUUGCAUUGAAUCUGCAGAUUACCUUUGACAGUAUGGUCAUUUUAACUAUAUUAAUUCUUCCAGGCCAUGAGCAUAGGAUAUCUUUCCAUUUGCUUGUGUCCUCUUCAAUUUCUUUCAUCAGUGUUGUGUAGUUUUCCUUGUAGAGGUCUUUCACCUACUUGGUUAAAUUUAUUCCUAGGUUUUUUUUUUGGUAGCUAUUUCAAGUAGGCAUGCCUUUUUAAUUUCUUUCUCCACUAUUUCAUCAUCAGCUAUUUCGUCAUUGGUGCAUACAAACACUACUGAUUUUUGUAUAUUGAUGUUCUAUCCUAAAACUAUAUUGUAUUUAUCAAAUUUGGGAGGGUUUUGAUGGAGUCAUUAGGUUUUUCUAGAUAUAAAAUUAUAUCAUUUGCAAAGAGGAACAAAUGUAAAGAUAUCCAACUUGGAUAUCUGUUAUUUCUCUUGUCUGAUUGCUCUGGCUAGGUCUUCCAGUACUAUGUUGAAUAGUAGUGAUGAAGGUGAAAAAACAAGACCCUUGUCUUGUUCCAGUUCUUAGAUGAAAUGGUUUCAGCUUUUCCCCAUUCAUUAUGAUGUUAGCCCUGAGUUUAUCAUAUAUGGUUUUUAUUAUUUUGAGUUACGUUCUUUUGAUGCCUAGUUUCUUGAGAGUUUUUAUCAUGAAGGGAUGAUGAAUUUUAUCAAAUGCUUUUUAUGGAUUGGUUGAGAUAAUCAUAUGGUUUUUGUCCUUCAUUCUGUUGAUGUAAUGUAUUAUGUUUGUUGAUUUGCAUAUGUUGAACCAUCUUUGCAUCCCUGGUAUAAAUCCCACUUGAUCACGGCAUAUUAUCUUUUUGAUGUGCUGUUGGAUUCAGGUUGCUAGUAUUUUGUUGAGAACUUUUGCAUCUAUUUUCAUCAGGGUUAUUGGCCUGUAGUUUUUUGUUGUUGUUGAGUCCUUGUCUGGUUUUUAAUAUCAUAAUAAUGCUGCCCUCAUAAAAUGAGUUAGGGAGAAUUCUCUCCUCUUCAAUUUUUUUUCAGUAGUUUGAAUAUAACUUUUGUUAGUUCUCCUUUGAAGGUUUGGUAGAAUUCAUCAGAGAAACCAUCCAGGUCUGGGCUUUUCUCUGUUGGAAAAUUUUUAUUACUGAUUCAAUCUCAUUACUUACUAUUGGUCUGUUCAGGUUUUCUAUUUCUUCCUGAUUCAAUCUUGGUAGGUGGUAUACGUCCAGGAAUUUAUCUAUUUCCUCUAGGCUUUCCAAUUUGGUGGUAUAUAAUUGUUUAUAAUAGUCUCUGAUGAUUAUUUGUAUUUCCAUGUUAUCAGUUGUAGUGUCUCCUUUUUCAUUUCUGAUGUUGUUUAUUUGUGUCUUCUCUCUUUUUUUUCUUGGUUAGUCUAGCUGAUGGUUUAUCAAUUUUUUAUCUUUUCAGAAAUCUAACUUUUUGUUUCAUUAAAAUUUUGUAUAUUUUUAGUUUCUAUUUUGUUUAGUUUGGCUCUGACCUUUACUGUUUCCUUCCUUCUACUCAUUUGGGAUUUGGUUUUUCCUUUUUUAGUUCCUUGAGGUGAACAGUUAGAUUGGUUAUUUGGAAUCUUUUUACUUUUUUGAUGUAGGCAUCUAUUGCUACAAAUUUUUCUCUAAGCACUGCUUUUGCUGUAUCCCAUAGAUUUUGGUAUGUUGUGUUUCCAUUUUCAUUUGUUUCAAAUAACUUUUUGAUAUCCUCCAUAUUUUUUUUCUUGACUCAGUGGUCAUUCUGGAGCAUGCUGUUUGUUUAUUUUCCACAUAUUUGUACAGUUUCCCAGGUUCCUCUUGUUAUUGAUUUCUACUUUUAUUACAUUUUUGUCUGAGAACAUACUUGAUAUGAUUUUGAUUUUUUAAAUUUGUUGAGACUUGUUUUGUGUCCUUCUACUUAACUACUUCCUUCACCAUUAAAUAGAAUACAGUAAUAGCUAUUUCAAAUUAAUGAACAUAAUACACAUUACUUUUGUCAAUCUGUGCAAAUGUAUGUUAUGUUGUGUCUAAAUAUUCAUCAAAAUAUUUUUAUUCCUGAAUACCAAAUUUCAGACAAUAUACAAAAGCACAUAUAUGAAUUGUAAUUAAUCUUCACCUCUCAGUAGCUCAACUCCUACCUCCUGACCCAAAAGGUCUGUUGUCCAUAGAAUGGUGCACACUUUCCAGACAUGUUUCUGUGGAUGAGGUGCACAUGACCAUGUUCACCUACAUAUGCACGUAAUCUUUGCCAAAAAGUGCAACCACAUUAAUCAUCUCCUUUUGCAAGCUGUCUUUUCCACUUAAUAUUCUUCUGAGGAUUUAUAUUAGCAUCUUAUUAGUUCUUAUAGUUUUAGCAUAAUCAACAAGUUCCUUGUUCAUGUCUAUAUCUAUUGGAAUUCUAUGUCAAAAUUAGUUGCCAACUGUUUUGUUACUGAGUUUGCCCUAUAAAUUAUGGAUACUAAUCCAACAUCUGAGAUGUAGUUUGAAAAUGUUUCCCCGUUAUUUUACAGACAUUCUUAGUGUUAUUUUCAUUUAGAAUGUGUUUUCAACUUCAAUAAUAUGAAUAAGAUAUAUAUAGAUUGUAAUUUAAAAAGAAAUACUAGUGAAGAACACCUUAGGGCGUGUGUACUGUCGGCCUUGAGAAAAAUUCAAGCAUUGAGAGUCCUGGAGAUAUCAAGAAAAAAAUGGAAAAAUACUUAAAAAUACUUAAAAGUAAUUCUAGAGUUAGCUGCUGAACUGGAGAGAAAAGAGUUUAUUCCCUGCUUUACAUAAACUUUCCUAAAGUACCCUGAUUUGAAUAAUUGUCAAAGUGAUAGGUACCUUGAAUAGCAGUUAAGAUUAAAGGAGAUGAAAUAUAAAGUGCAUUUUCUUACAGUAGUUUAGUGUAUGUUACUUUCCUUCUCUCCAGCUCACCUGUCCCAAGGCCAACACUUGAGCUUCUGCCUGAGCCCACUCACCACUUCGAGAAGCAACCAACUCAUGUGGCCCUACACCCAGGUCUCUUGGCAUAAAUGGUGGGAUUUAAUCUUCUCUAUCUUCUUCAUCACCCAGAGGGGUUGUGGAGUGAGGACGCAUUGGUCCACAAUAGCAGGGGGGUGGAAUCUGACCAUUUCUCAAGCCCUGGAAGCCCAUCUUCUAAAAGGGAGGCUACUCAGGGCUGUCUAUGGAUGAUGAGGGAUGGAACCUCAUUUCAAUCCUACCACCUAUCUGGAGAAGUGACUUAGGCUCUGAAAGCCUGAGUUUGGUCAUCUAUGAAAUGGGACUGACCACACCAUCCUUACAGUGCUGUCCUGAGGGGUAAAUGAGAAAACCUGUACAGAGUAUAUGGCAUAGAGUGGGACUUCAACGGCCUUUAAAUGUUGGGACACAGCACUAGGGGAUGGCUGAGCCUCAGGGCUAACGAGGCAUUGUGAAAAACCAUUUCUCAUUGUU
rnacentral:lncRNA from 10 species